GGCUGGGUACAGCCAAUGUACUAUGCACAUUUAAAUAAAGGGUGACAUGAUGAUGGGAUACUGGCCUCUGUGCAGUUUUUUCACCAAAGCUGGCAGCAUUAUGACUAUCACCCACUGGAAUGGAUACAAGGCAUUGUGACUGUCUGGUGACAAAUGGUUUAUAUUUAGUGUGUAGAAACAGUUCUCCACGAAGCAACAGAGCAAUGCAGCUUGGUUCACUGGUGCCCAGGAGAAAGUGGGGACUGCAGAUGCUGGAGUACCAGAGUUGAAAAAUGUGGUGCUGGAAAAACA